rnacentral:rRNA from 1 species
AACGAACGCUGGCGGCGUGCCUAACACAUGCAAGUCGAGCGCGAAUGGAGCAAUCCUAGUAGAGCGGCGCACGGGUGCGUAACACGUGGGUAAUCUGCCCAAGAGUCCGGGACAACCUGCCGAAAGGCUGGCUAAUACCGGAUAAGCUCACGGGGUCUUCGGACCCUGAGAGAAAAGGUGGCCUCUGUAUACAAGCUAUCUCUCUUGGAUGAGCCCGCGGCCCAUCAGCUAGUUGGCGGGGUAAUGGCCCACCAAGGCAACGACGGGUAGCUGGUCUGAGAGGACGAUCAGCCACACUGGAACUGAGACACGGUCCAGACACCUACGGGUGGCAG